UGGGUGGAAGAAGGUCUGGUU
rnacentral:miRNA from 1 species